rnacentral:rRNA from 1 species
UGGCGGCGUGCUUAACACAUGCAAGUCGAGCGAGAAAGGGGGCUUCGGCCCCUGAGUACAGCGGCGAACGGGUGCGUAAUACAUGAGCAAUCUACCCUUGAGGCGGGAAUAACCCAGCGAAAGUUGGGCAAAUACCGGAUAAGACCACAAGAGGAAACUCUAGAGGUCAAAGGCAGCUCUCUUUUGGGGGCGGCCCUUCGAGGAGGAGCUCAUGUCCUAUCAGCUAGUUGGUAGGGUAACGGCCUACCAAGGCGAAGACGGGUAGCUGGUCUUAGAGGAUGAUCAGCCACACGGGGACUGAGACACGGCCCCGACUCCUACGGGAGGCAGCAGUGGGGAAUAUUGGGCAAUGGGCGAAAGCCUGACCCAGCGACGCCGCGUGGGUGAUGAAGGCCUUCGGGUCGUAAAGCCCUGUCAGGAGGAAAGAACGAUCUUGUGGUGAAUACCCACGAGAUGUGACGGUACCUCCGAAGGAAGCACCGGCCAAUUCCGUGCCAGCAGCCGCGGUAAGACGGAAGGUGCAAGCGUUGCUCGGAAUCACUGGGCGUAAAGGGUGCGUAGGCGGCUUCUUAAGUCUGGUGUGAAAGCCCAGGGCUCAGCUCUGGAAGUGCACUAGAUACUGGGAAGCUUGAGUACCGGA